UGAGGAAUAUUGGACAAUGGGCGCAAGCCUGAUCCAGCCAUGCCGCGUGCAGGAUGACGGUCCUAUGGAUUGUAAACUGCUUUUGUACAGGAAGAAACAGUUCUACGUGUAGAACCUUGACGGUACUGUAAGAAUAAGGAUCGGCUAACUCCGUGCCAGCAGCCGCGGUAAUACGGAGGAUCCAAGCGUUAUCCGGAAUCAUUGGGUUUAAAGGGUCCGUAGGCGGUUAGAUAAGUCAGUGGUGAAAGCCCAUCGCUCAACGGUGGAACGGCCAUUGAUACUGUCUGACUUGAAUUAUUAGGAAGUAACUAGAAUAUGUAGUGUAGCGGUGAAAUGCUUAGAGAUUGCAUGGAAUACCAAUUGCGAAGGCAGGUUACUACUAAUGGAUUGACGCUGAUGGACGAAAGCGUGGGUAGCGAACAGGAUUAGAUACCCAGUAGUCCCUGAGCGGGCUGGCAAGGCGCAU
rnacentral:rRNA from 1 species